UACGUAGGGUGCAAGCGUUGUCCGGAAUUAUUGGGCGUAAAGAGCUCGUAGGCGGUCUGUCGCGUCGGCUGUGAAAACUCGGGGCUCAACCCCGAGCCUGCAGUCGAUACGGGCAGACUAGAGUGCGGUAGGGAGACUGGAAUUCCUGGUGUAGCGGUGAAAUGCGCAGAUAUCAGGAGGAACACCGGUGGCGAAGGCGGGUCUCUGGGCCGUAACUGACGCUGAGGAGCGAAGCGUGGGGAGCAACAGG
rnacentral:rRNA from 1 species